UAGAAAGCGCCAUCGGUGGUAAUGCCUAC
rnacentral:piRNA from 1 species